rnacentral:rRNA from 1 species
UACGAAGGGGGCUAGCGUUGUUCGGAAUUACUGGGCGUAAAGCGUAUGUAGGCGGAUCGUUAAGUCGGGGGUGAAAUCCCGAGGCUCAACCUCGGAACUGCCUUUGAUACUGGCGAUCUUGAGUCCGGGAGAGGUGAGUGGAACUGCGAGUGUAGAGGUGAAAUUCGUAGAUAUUCGCAAGAACACCAGUGGCGAAGGCGGCUCACUGGCCCGGUACUGACGCUGAGGUGCGAAAGCGUGGGGAGCAAACAGG